rnacentral:rRNA from 1 species
UACGAAGGGGCUAGCGUUGUUCGGAUUAACUGGGCGUAAAGCGCGCGUAGGCGGGUUUUAAGUCAGGGUGAAAUCCCAAGGCUCAACCUUGGAACUGCCUUUGAUACUGGAAAUCUUGAGUCCGGGAGAGGUGAGUGGAACUGCGAGUGUAGAGGUGAAAUUCGUAGAUAUUCGCAAGAACACCAGUGGCGAAGGCGGCUCACUGGCCCGGUACUGACGCUGAGGUGCGAAGCGUGGAGCAACAGG